rnacentral:rRNA from 1 species
UACAGAGGGUGCAAGCGUUAAUCGGAAUUACUGGGCGUAAAGCGCGCGUAGGCGGCUUUGUAAGUUAGAGGUGAAAGCCCGGGGCUCAACCCCGGAACUGCCUUUAAGACUGCAUCGCUUGAAUCCGGGAGAGGUGAGUGGAAUUCCGAGUGUAGAGGUGAAAUUCGUAGAUAUUCGGAAGAACACCAGUGGCGAAGGCGGCUCACUGGACCGGUAUUGACGCUGAGGUGCGAAAGCGUGGGGAGCAAACAGG